ACUUGAAUAUCUUAUAUUUAGAGUAUGACAUUGAAGCUGUUAUCGAGGUUAUAAUUAACCUUCAGGUG
rnacentral:tRNA from 1 species